rnacentral:rRNA from 1 species
UACGGAGGGUGCAAGCGUUAUCCGGAUUUACUGGGUUUAAAGGGUGUGUAGGCGGGGCUUUAAGUCAGUGGUGAAAUCUCCGAGCUUAACUUGGAAACUGCCAUUGAUACUAUUGAUCUUGAAUUCUGUUGAGGUGGGCGGAAUAAGUCAUGUAGCGGUGAAAUGCAUAGAUAUGACUUAGAACACCAAUUGCGAAGGCAGCUCACUAAGCAGAUAUUGACGCUGAGGCACGAAAGCGUGGGGAUCAAACAGG